rnacentral:rRNA from 1 species
AUUACUCCUACGGGAGGCAGCAGUGAGGAAUAUUGGUCAAUGGGUGCAAGCCUGAACCAGCCAUCCCGCGUGAAGGAUUAAGGUCCUAUGGAUUGUAAACUUCUUUUGUAUAGGGAUAAACCUACCCUCGUGAGGGUAGCUGAAGGCACUAUACGAAUAAGCACCGGCUAACUACGUGCCAGCAGCCGCGGUAAUAAU